UACGGAGGGAGCUAGCGUUGUUCGGAAUUACUGGGCGUAAAGCGCGCGUAGGCGGCUUUGUAAGUUAGAGGUGAAAGCCCGGGGCUCAACCCCGGAAUUGACCUUUAAGACUGCAUCGCUUGAAUCCGGGAGAAGGUGAGUGGAAUUCCGAGUGUAGAGGUGAAAUUCGUAGAUAUUCGGAAGAACACCAGUGGCGAAGGCGGCUCACUGGACCGGCAUUGACGCUGGAGGUGACGAAAGCGUGGGGAGCAAACAGG
rnacentral:rRNA from 1 species